rnacentral:rRNA from 1 species
GGCAGCAGUGGGGAAUAUUGCACAAUGGGGGAAACUCUGAUGCAGCGACGCCGCGUGGAGGAAGAAGGUCUUCGGAUUGUAAAUCUUGUUCUUCAGGAAGAUAAUGACGGUACUCAACUAG